rnacentral:rRNA from 1 species
GAUGAACGCUGGCGGCGUGCUUAACACAUGCAAGUCGAACGGUGAACCCGGAGCUUGCUCUGUGGGAUCAGUGGCGAACGGGUGAGUAACACGUGAGCAACCUGCCCCUGACUCUGGGAUAAGCGCUGGAAACGGCGUCUAAUACUGGAUAUGUGACGUGACCGCAUGGUCUGCGUUUGGAAAGAUUUUUCGGUUGGGGAUGGGCUCGCGGCCUAUCAGCUUGUUGGUGAGGUAGUGGCUCACCAAGGGGUCGACGGGUAGCCGGCCUGAGGGGGUGACCGGCCCCAGGGGAACGGGGACGGGGUCCAGACGCCUACGGGAGGCAGCAGUAGGGAAUCUGACGCAAUGGGCGAAAGCCUGACGGAGCAACGCCGCGUGAGUGAUGAAGGUCUGCGGAGCGUAAAACUCUGUUAUGAGGGAAGAAAAAAUGGGUAAGUAAAGAUGCACGUCGUGACGGGACCUAACCAGAAAGCCACGGCUAACUACGUG